UAGUGAUUACAGGGGAGCUUGUGUUGACAGGCUGAGAGGAAGUUUUUAACUUCGACCCUUUACCUGAUGCGGAUAAUGCCGCCGUAGGAAGCUAUGAUAAAGAUAUU
rnacentral:ncRNA from 1 species